rnacentral:SRP_RNA from 1 species
AAGUUUUGACUGUUGCCCGGCCCGCAGGUUCUACUGUGAAACCCCGUCCUGUGGGGCUAGUGUCGGUGCAAGGGCUUUCCUGAAGGAAGGUUUUUGUAUCUUAAUUGCGGACAAAGGUCUAGGCCCGGAAGGGAGCAAACCGCCCGUGAACAACUAACGCUCAUGGGGGCGCGGGGCGGAGGCGAGCCUGCGGUCAACCGGACAGCGGAAGGGACUACGACCUGAGGCAUGCCCGCUA